rnacentral:tRNA from 1 species
UGGGGAUAUGGCGGAAUUGGUAGACGCUACAGACUUACUAUUUAUUUAAUAAAGAUAAAGUCCUAUAAUACGAAAAUUUGUUGGUUUUUUUACCGUGAGGGUUCAAGUCCCUCUAUCCCCAG